AGUUGCCUGACGCCUUAUUUUAUCCCAGAGAGACGGAGUGGGACUCUCAGGCCUCCAGAACUAUAAGAUGGUCCGUCUGCAUUGUUUUAAGCCGCUCCCGUUUGUGGUCAUUUGCUACAACAGCAGUAGAAAUGGACACAUCGUUGAAGUUGCCUCAAAACUGUAUAUCUGGUCACUUAAUAAUCUCAGAGAACAGGUCUAGCCACUUCCAGACUUCAGCUGGGAAGGCCACUUUAGUGUUAGAAGGCUUCGGCCCGUUUCCUAUCAGAGUGGCUCGUACCUAAAAGAUGAGCCAAGCUAUGUGUCAGGCACUGUUCUUUCUGCCUGGCAGAUACAUUAUUAACUAAUUUAGUCCUCAAAAAAGCUCUUUAAGGUAGGACUGUCAUUCUGCCAUUCUGCCCAUGAGAAAACCGUCCAGUUUCCCUGCUCAUGAUGCAGGGGUGGAGGUGGGGAGCUAAAAACAAAGGAGUGUGGCCCCUGGGUCCAUGUUCUGCUCUGCCCGCUGCCUUGAGAUCACCCCUAGCCACACUGUCCAGCCAGGCUUGGCAGAGGGAUUGAAUCUUUGUGCAAAGCCAGAAGUUGCUUAGAAUAAAGGAGAGUGAAGCUGGCCAGGUCAUUUUGCUGAGUUAAACUGCUUUUGAUCUAUGAUGAAGUGUAAUUAUAAUGAUUAUAAUCUCGUUAUCUUGCUAUCCUUGUGGGGCUCAUCAGACAGCUCCUGGAGAAAUUUUGCAAAAAUCUUUACGGUCAUGGCAGCCAUGUUGGAAUAAAUGUUUCCUCCUCCUCAGGGACUCUGAAGAAAACAUCUAUUUACUUGGACAACUUACAUACAUCUUUCCUAAGAGAAGAAACAUUUGGGUAAACGAAGUAAAGAAUACAUGAAACAAAACCCCCAAACCAAGGAGUUUUUUUUUUUUUUUUCCACAGUUUUGAGGAUUCUGUCUUUGCAACUGGCUCACGGGUUCCCCUCUGUGAUUCACCUGGUGACUGGUGGACUCCCUGCUUGUAUCCUAAGCACAUACCUCCCCAUAGAUCUGGAUUUGGACAAAGAGGCAGUCAUAAGCAUCGCCUUUAGAUACCGUGUUUCCAAGGGCAGGUGCGCUGGGGGAAAAGUCCAUAGACGCUCCUACAAGGUCAAGGUGUACCUCUCCUGAAGUCUGAAAUCCCCACGCGGUGACCCUGGUAGUUGCUACGUUCCUUCAUCUUAACCGAAGAUAGUUGCCGUCCUGCCUCCUUGUGCCUCCUGGCAGAAGCCAAGCGACCAAAUUCCACUCAAGAGCCCAGGCAGGAAGUGGCCAUCAGCCGCUGGCCAGGUUGGCUCUUUGUCACCAGGAACGUCCUAAGCUACCUUCCACUAGCCCUGGAGGAGUUUUCCAUGCAAAGCUUCACAAGCACAAUAAGAUAUUUACUGUCUUUAUCGGAGAGAUCAAACCCGCACACAGAUGUCACAUUUCUCAAAUUCCAUCAGUAGAUCAGACAAGCCGUCUCUGGAAAGAGGACAUUCCAGCCGGCAAGUUCAGAGCGCGCUGGCUUCCAGGGCCGUUCCCUUCCUAUUUUCUGUCGUGCACCCUGAGCCUUUGUUGUCUCUGCAAUGCUGAUAAAUCAAUCCAUCAAAAAAUUUCCUCAGUGAAACUCAAUCAAGAAAGGUCAUGUCAGCGGGAGAGGAACAGAUUAAAUUAGCAUCAAAUUAGACAUGGAAAGUGAGUUCUGUCAAAAUCAUCGCAGCGCUCAGCACAAUUAGAAUAUGUUAAUUAUGCAUUUCAUUAAGGUGGAUGUGAGAUGAAAUGUCACUGGGGUAGGCAUCCGAAAAAGGGAAGAUUGCCAGGCACAACUUUCUCUAGACAAUGUGUGACACCUUCAUUAACAUCAAGAAUCACAAGUCUGCCUUGACUUUUUCUGUAAAGGAUUAAACCAUUAACUGUUUGCUGGCUCCUCUCAUUCGUGCGGGGGGUCCCUGUCCUCCAAGGGGGCCGGCCCCUCCUGAGUGACUGUCUUGCUUUGCCACCGCCAUGGCCCCAGGGGCUGCUGGGAGUGCCCGGUGGGCAAUGGAGAGGGUGGCGGGUUUUAAUGAACUCCCUGCAAGCUUCUCGGGGAUCACGCCACUGCCUUAGGGGUGGCAGGGUGCUGAGAAAUGAGGGGUGAGGAUUACAGAGGGAGGGGAGGAGGGGCAGGGGGAGGCUCUUGGCUUCAUUCUUGGGGAUGAAAGAUAUAAUCAACGUAAUGGGGGGCGGGCAGGGGGAUCAGAUUUACAAACUUACACCCGGCAAACUCUAAUUUGGUGAAUUAUUUCGCAGAUCGCUCUCUGAGUCACUGCAACCAGGAGGCAUUCUCCUGGAGUGAAGUAGUUCCUCACGAGGCAGCUUCAUAAAAUCCUCGUUAGAUGCUUCCAGUGGUAGGAGUUUUCACCUGGGCUGUCUCCUUCUGUGAUUUCUUCAACCCUGCUUCAGUUGGCCUCCACCGGGGGAGAGACGGGGCCCAUCCCCUGUGUGGGUUAUUCCCCUGACGUUUGCCCACUCAGCCCCCUUUUUCAGGUGUCUGGAGGCAAUGCCCAUCUGCGGGGGUUUCCAGUUACCUCCUGUGGAAUGUUCUCUCACUCGUGCUGCCCCUCGCUGGGCCCCCUCACCUUCCACCUGCCCGCCCCGUUCCCGACACCCUCACACCCACCGAAACAUUCAUGAACGCUAGGCUGCACCGCUCUUCUGCUAUUUCCUCAAAUCUCAAGUGAAAAACACAGCUUCUUGCAAUGUUGUUCCUGACUCCCGGCCUCGGACUGCCAUUAGAUGCCUUUUUUGUUCCCCUGGGGCCCUGUGCUUCCUUGAAGUCACCAGAAUCAGUUUCUGUCGCUUGCAGGACAGUAACUGUAACACAACACACUCAGACUUUCCUACUUCUUCCCAGAAACGAAUUAUCCAUCUACCCACUACGUGGUAAGUUCUUUCUCUGUCUCUCCAUAUUUUAAAUCUCUCUUUCCUGAUAUGUAGAAUGUAUUCAUCAAAUUAUCUUUAGAAAAAAUGAAUGCUCAGGUUACAGAAUUUUACCAUGACCUAAGUUCUAUAUUUUAUAGGUAGGAGAGAAAGCGAAAGUUACAAACUUUAUUUCUAGCCUUUCUCAAUAGGGCUGUUUUUUGUCAUAUUAAAUUAAUACAUACACAUCAAUAUAUACCCAUUUCUAACAUAGCCAGUUGGAAUUCGUUUUCUCUAAUGCUUAGUGUUAAAUAUAGUGUAUGACAUACUUCACUGCUCCCAUUUUUUCUCACUCCAAUGUCAAGGAUGUUAUUCUGUGAAUUUACCUGAUUUUCUUUCCCUCCACUUCCUCCAGGCCCACCCCUCCUUUUCUUUGCUCUCUUUCUCGUCCUCUCAUCUCUCUAUAACAAAAUCAAUGAUCAGCUCCAGGUUUCUAACCAAACUUAUAAGGCAAUCCCUUUUAAAUCCAAAUUCUUUGGGGGGGGGGGGUGGUUUGCACAGUGGAAAAUAGCCUUACUCUCAACUCUGAUGACCAAACAGACAGGAUGAUCUACUAAGCCGUAGGAUGGCUUUGGGUGACGCUGUUUUCUUCCUCUUGGUAAUGUGAGCAUAACCUUCUUUGUGGUGUGCAUUAAUUGGGAGAAUACAGGCAAAAUGCAAAGGCUGGAAUCUAGCACAUAAUAAAUCCCCAGUAAAUGAGAGUGGUGAUGAGAAAGGAAGAUGAUGAGGAUAAGAAUGGCAUGCUGGCAUCCCCAAGCUCAGGAGCCGGCCCAGAGUCCUAUUUCGAAAACAUCGCAUCAGCACAAAUAUCUUAAUUUACAGGGAGAAAAGACAGCGUUGGCUACAAUUGCCCACUUUAAAUUUUGCAUGAGAACAAGGAGACACGCGGGGGAUUGGGACCCUCUGGCAGAGACACUCCAGAGCUGUGGGGUUCUGGAGAGAGACUUUGCCCUGUGCCAAAGGCCCAGAGGAAUUCCAAGGAAACCGACAAUGGAAGUACACAGUCUUGCUGGAGCCCAGGAUGGGCUAUUGAUGCCCCGCUCCCCAAGCUGUCUGGUUUUCUGAGCUUCAUUUAAUUUCUAGAUCACCUGGGGCCCAGGCUGUUAGAAAACGGAGGACAGAGUGGAAAUUACUCAUGAGCUGGCUCUGAUUCGACGAAGCCAACUGCCUCACCUUGUGGCAAGAGCGAGCGGAAGGGGAGGAGGGAGGAUGCUUUCCCGCCUGGGUACAAAGCUUCCUCCUAGCCUGCCUAGACUUCUAGCUUCAUUGUCAGCACCGCCAUUGAUAUUAAAAUCAAGGGGUUGGCAUAAAGCUCGGGGUAGCACUGGCAGAAUUCCAGGCUUGCUCUAAUGAGCCUCACCUGGGCUAAUUACAUUUUUCACAAACCCCCGCCGGAGAGGUUGGAGUUGCCAAUUGGUCGUCCAGAAUGAUAGCGACUGGGAUUUCUCAGCUCUGAGAUUUCUUUCUAUCUGCUGGCAGUCGGAGCUCCAGAGGGCCAGAAAGUGACCUGAGGAACUCUGGCUACUAUCUUCGUAGGGCACAUGGUAGUUACCUUAUUUGUUCCAGAAAGAAAAGUGAUCUGUAAAGUGGGAGUAAAGUAGCCUUCUGGCUACUCGGAGGAUGGGCUCGCCUGUCAUCUUACUGUUCACAGGGAAUCAGAAUCUGCACUUCCAACAAGAUCCUUAGGCAAUGGAUGUGUACCGUCAGGUGUGAAAAACCCCAGUCAGAGGGGUCAGACAGCGUGCCCAAGCUGACACAGAAUCAGGACCUACCCCACAUCUGCCCAUCUCCUAAACACGGUGGCUUUCCAAAUUACCCCAGUCCACCUCCCAUAGGUCUGCAGGACAGAGGACAGAGAUCAGAGGGUAGGAGGCACUGUUGUUGUACCAUGGGGGCUCGAGAAGGAGUAGUUACCACAACCUGGGAGAGGAAGUCAGAGAGGACUUCCUGGAAGAGAGAGAAUGUAAGUGGAGACCUACAGGCUACAUGGGGAUCCUUCCCAGAAGCCCACCAGCACAAUUUCCCUCAUGCCUUUCCCUGUGUUUUUUCCUUCUGCACAUACACUUCUGCCGGGGUCUGUGGGGAGGAUGGUGAUGUGUGGCCCAUAGCAUUUGGUGGGAUAAUGCUUUUGAAAAAUCGCCUCAGCUCUUCCCAGCAUUCCUGUAUUGGCUGCUUUUCCCUCAACCAGGCAUCAGCUACUCAUGAUCACACCAAAACUACAACGGAAAGGAAUUUGAGUUUAACAAAGGUGGGUUCGCCAACCCAUGCUUCCUGAGGCAGUUCGGAAACAGAACAAGAUGUGAUUACCGAAGCAAGUCACCCUACUGGACAUGACAGGAUAAGCUUGUCGACGGGGGGCAGAGGAGACCUGGGGGAAACUAGGCAGUCAAAUGCGGCCAGGUGUCCCUGGAAAAGUCUGACAGUUUCAAGGGGACUCAGGAGUAGUGACAACCUGCCACCUUUUCCCCCAGCAACCUAGGAAUGCUGGUAGGUCCCUCGAGAUGCCUGGGCUCCAAUGCCCUGGGGAAAGGGCUGGAAAGCCAGCCAAAUGGCUGAGAGGGAGUGGGUGAUCAGGCAUCUGGGCCUGAGGGUGGGGGUCCCUCAGGACCGGGGUCCCCCCAGGGCCAUGGUCAUGGUAGUUGACCUGGGCAGUCACACACGGCUCUCCAUGUCUGGAUGAAUACCGUCUAGAAAGUCCUAGCACUUUCUGAACCAGGGCCCCACAUUUUCGUCUUGCAAUAGACCACGCAUGGUGUAGCUAGUUGUGGCCGCCUGACAGGGUGCCCGUGUGCCCCAGGGGAGACUGUCCACAGCCACACAAGUCUGAGGGGGCUGGGUAAAUGCGAGGAGACCUCAUAGAGUUCACAGUGACCAGAAGACCUGUGAGAGCUUGAGGCCACCACAUGACCAGCUCCCUGAAGGACCCCUCUUCCCCCGCCUGCUCCUACCCACCCCCUGUUUCAGCUGUGUCCCCUCAGGAACGGGGAGGAGUCCUGAACUGACCAGGAAUAAGUCUCUGCUCCUGGGAACACAGACUUGAAAUUGACAUUGAGUCUUCAGGUGGAGAAUGUUCGAGGAAGUUGCAUUUCUUCCACACUUGAGUUUGUGGACUGGUGUGAUUCAGAGGGGAAGAAUCUGGAAUUCACUCCCGUAAGCCCCUGCACUGGCCAGCACGUUCCCACGUUGCAUACAACAGUUUCAUCGGUGGCUCUGAUUACCGGUAGCGCUGGCCUGGCUCCUGGUGACCUGGUAACCUCGUGUGGCCCUCGGGAAUAUCUUCGAAUCAAGGCCUACAGAGACUGGGGUGGGGGAGACCCUCUCACCCUCAGCGCAGCUGACAUGUGGAGCUGGGUGGCUCUUUGCUGGGGGCUGUUCUGUUCACUGUAUGACCUCAGGCAGCGGCUCCGGCCUCUAUCCACUGGAUGUUAGUAGCCCCCCCCUCCAUCGUGACCACCAAGAAUGCCUCACGCAUUGCCAGCUGUUGCCUCGGGGGCAAAAUCGCCCCCAGUGACUUCAAAUCCACCAUGGCCAAUUACCACGCAGUGACCCAGAAUAAAUUAUUUAACCAUAAAGGGCCCGCAUCACUCUCUUCGGAAAAGGAGGGUAGUAAUCGGUUUACUGUUCAUUCUUGUGGUUGGAUCCAAUGAGGUCUCCUAGGAGGGUCUCCCUGUGAUGGCAAAGGGGCCUCCCGGGUGUUUCUCUAUGCUGGCCCAGCCCCGUGUUCUAGAUGAAGGACAUUAAGACUGGGCGGGCCUAAGAGAUUUCCUCCAACCUAGGCUCAUCGCUCUUUUUAUAAUAAAAUCCUUCAGUUACAUGGGAAGAACCGUGAAAACAUUCUCUCCACUGGGGAAGUGACAAAUGCAAGAAGAACAUUUCCGUGUUUGAGGAAUGCCCACCGUGAAGAGCUCUGUGGGACCCCAUUUGGCCGCGCGGCCACACUGUGAUGCAGACAGACGUGUCCCUCCUUCCCAGGCGAAGACAUGCAGGUUCCGAGAAAGAGGCUCCCUACCGUUCCCAGGAUCCCACCUGGAGCUCCACGAGCGGUGGGGCCCUGGGCCUGUGAUUUCGCCCAGUGAAGUCUGGAGGGGCCACACUCUGCUGGAGACGUCCCGGGCGACCUCCCCUUGUCUGCUCCAGCAAACCGCCCGUCCUCUUACUUAUUUAAUAUUUUUCUUUAAGUGGAUUUACUUUUUGGCUUAAAUAUUUAAAGGCAUUUUGCGCCUCUCCUCUAAUUGAAAAGCCUUUCCGGCAGCCUCGCUCGGAAAGGGAAUGAGUAUUGGUGUUAGGAGCCAAAGUUAUUUAUCUUUGGUAAAUGAUGAACAAGAUCGAAUCUGGCUGGCACGUGGCUGUUUGGCCUCUUAUACGCAUUAAAUGUCCAAUAAAUAGGUGGCGCGACCCCCUG